rnacentral:lncRNA from 1 species
AUGAAAGCACAAGCCCCGGAGUUUCGGAAGGCGGCGGGAGGGCGGGGGGCCGGGGAGGGGUCGGGGCGCCGCGGAGUCAGCCAAGUGGCCGGCGAGGGGCCGCUGCCCCCCGCGCCCGCCCCGGCGCCCCCACCCGCGCGCGCGCACACACACACACACACACACACACGCGCGCGCACACGCACUCACACGCACUCACACACGCACGCACUCACUCACUCACACUCACGCCGCCGCCUCACCUCUCGCUCCGCCCGGCCGGCCCCUUCCCUGCCCCCGGCGGGACCGGCCUGCUCGCGGCGCUGGAACCACGUAGGAGGCGGCGGCCGCGGGAGUGGCGGAGUCUCCGGCCCGGCCCAGAGUGAGCGAGCAGCGGGGCUCCAGGGCGCAUCCCAAUCCCCGCAGCGCCUCCUCCGCCGCCGCCGCCUCCUCCUUCCCCUCCUCCUGGCUUCAUUCACCCUCCCAGCCGCCGCGCAGCCGCUCACUCCCGGCGCCGCUCCUCCGCUGCCGCCGCGGGCGCUGGCGGGGGCGCCGGCCCGGGCUGGGGCGCUCGCGGGCUCCGGGCUCCGGGCGGCGGCGGCUGCACAUGAUCAGGAAGCGGCCGCACCAACAGGGCGGCGGUGGCGGCGGCGGCGGCGGCGGCGGCGGCGGCGGCGGCGGCGGAGGAGGAGGAGGAGGAGGAGGAGGCGGCAGGGCCGCCGCCGCCGCCGCUCCAGCCGCGCUCCCGGCACCCGCACGUCGGCUCCCCCCGCGCCCACCCCUCCGCGCCCCCCGCGCUCCCACCGCCCGGCGCCCGGCCGCGCGCAGAGUCCCGGGCCGCAGCCACACGCCGGGCGAGGCCGGCCUCCGCGGGGGACCCCCGCCCCGGGCUCAGGGGCCGGGCGGCCCUCGCGGGGGGCGGGGGGGAGGCCCGGCCCCCCUCCGGACCCACUGGCUCCGCCGCCCUCCCGGGGGCCCGGGCUGCGCAGGGGGCGGCGGGCGAGAGGGCAGCGCGACCCCCGGCCGCCGCCGCCGCCUCCAGGGAGGGGGACGCGGGUCUCCGCACUCGCGGCCGGCCCGGCAGCCCCGCCGCUCCCCCGCCCGCUCCCGCUCCCGCUCCCGCACCCCCAGCCCGGGCGCGCCCCCUCGCCGGGCGGGCGCCCACCGGCCCGGCAGCCCCCCUGCCGUCAGUCCCUGCGCCCCGAGCGGGGGUGUCGGCCCGGGAGGCUGGAGCGGGAGAAGGCGAUGAAAUGAACAUCCUUUCCACAGCGAUGCAGUAUAGAUAUUUCCAACACAAGGACCCUUCUCCCCAGUGACAAGAGAGUUCCUUGCUAAACCAUAGUUCUGUCACCAGCACAUGUGAGUCCCUACUAAGCAUUAAUUGGUAUUUAUACUCUCAACACCUGCUUCUCUUUGAGAAGGAGACCUUUUAACAUUGUUUUUUUCUUAUUUCUAGGCAUUGGGUACAGCUUCCUACCUUCCCCUGUGCAUCUUCCUGAGAGCUGGAGAUGACGAGAUCCUCUACUUGUAUUCCCCAGUGAAAAGCUGACAACACUCUAUUGUCUGCCUACUAAUGAGCUUUCUUGUAUGGAAGAUGAUAAAGCAAAAUCUAAUCACAUCUAUGUCCCCAAACACACUUCAGGUUUGUUCACCUAGAUCUUUGGAAGGCUUCAAAAAAUUUUCACCCCAGAUGUUAAACUAGAAUCCUCUCCUUCCUCAUCACAAUGUUUCUCUCCCCCUAGAGUUAAUGGGAUGUUCUUUCCCAAGUCCUGCUCUUGCCCGAACACUACCAUCUCUACUAUAUCUUUUUUUGUUUCAUCUCUACUAUAUCUACUGACAACAUGUGCUUUCCUCCUAUGUCUGUCUUUUGAAUCUUAUGGAUUCAAUGUGGUUCUUUAAAUAGGUGAUUGUAGGAUGGAGAGGAAGAAAGAGGAGAAGAGAGGUAGAGUCACUGCAUAGGCCAGACCACCUGG